rnacentral:rRNA from 4 species
GGGUUGUGAGGUUAAGCGACUAAGCGUACACGGUGGAUGCCCUGGCAGUCAGAGGCGAUGAAGGGCGUGCUAAUCUGCGAUAAGCGCCGGUAAGGUGAUAUGAACCGUUAUAACCGGCGAUACCCGAAUGGGGAAACCCAGUGUGAUUCGUCACACUAUCAUUAACUGAAUCCAUAGGUUAAUGAGGCGAACCGGGGGAACUGAAACAUCUAAGUACCCCGAGGAAAAGAAAUCAACCGAGAUUCCCCCAGUAGCGGCGAGCGAACGGGGAGGAGCCCAGAGCCUGAAUCAGCAUGUGUGUUAGUGGAAGCGUCUGGAAAGG